AAUACGAAAAAAAAAUAAAAAAUGAACACACCAGGGAUGCGGAGGUGACGCUGCGGUGAUUCGAAGGCAUGACCUAGAGCGGGGAUGCAAAGAGCGCUGACCAACUCAACCACAUCCACACUUGCGUCAGAUAUGAGCGACAACUACAAUAUAACCUGGUCUAGCUGCUGCAUCUGUCAUUUGAAAAAAAAUAUUGGAUUCCCUUCUCCUAGCCUGAGCCCAGAGCCGAAGUCUCUCUUCUGUCCAUUCCCAUUUUGCAGAAGAAAAAGAAUAUUGCUUGGAUAAACCAAAGCCCCUUGCUGUGUCCAGAGAAUCAGAAAAGAUCUCUGAUUUCUCUCUUCGCAAGACCAUCCAUCUCCGCCUUCACUCUUCUUCAUUCUCCCCAACACUCACGAUCCUUUCCUCUCUUUCAAUCCAAUCACACCAGCGUUUUCAUCUGCGUGAGGAGGCCACAGCUGCAGCAAACACAACCAGUGGGGUUGAAUUAUCUGAUGCACCUGAAUUUUUGGAUGGUUUUGGAGUCCCUGGAUUCCUCACAGUCAGAUCUGUCUCCAUCCAUGUCACCAGAUGCUAACUUGUUCCAAGAUGAAAGCAAGCUGAAGCCGAACAAUAGUCUAUUCUCCACCAAUAAGGACCCCAGAUCUGUGCAUCUCGUAGAUUGGAAAGGACGCCAGCUAUUGGAUGCUCACUUGAAUUGUCACAGAAUUGGAAUCCUAUGGGGCCAAGCUUGAAGUUGAGAUUGACUUCAAAAAGCUGCUGGUCACUCGUGUGUUUCACAGGGUCAAAACCAUAACUACAGAAUUCCCAAGGCUUCCAAACUGGUCUUAGAGGAGAGACCUUUACUCUCAGCAAUAUUGAGAACACUGAGUCACCCAGGAACCACUUGACCAAUAAUCUUGCAAGGAUGAUUUCAAGAUCCAAUAUCCAUCUGAAGGAAAAAUGCAGAUCCAUGAGAGGGCAGUCAACACACAAACUCAAAGGGCAUGGAAUCACAUGGGGGUGCCAAAGGUGGACCCGUGCAUCUAGUGAGUAGAAUUUCGAAUGCCUGCAAAUUGUGUGGUUAUGGAUAACUGCUCAAAAUGAUAUAUAUGUGCUGGAUUUGCAACAGCUACCCCCAAACUUAAAUCUUUGAGUGAGCUCGAGCUCAUGUGAAUUGCU